AGGGAAUAUUGGACAAUGGGGGCAACCCUGAUCCAGCCAUGCCGCGUGAGUGAAGAAGGCCCUCGGGUUGUAAAGCUCUUUUGUCCGGAAAGAAAAGCAUUCGGUGAAUACCCGGAUGUUCUGACGGUACCGGAAGAAUAAGCACCGGCUAACUUCGUGCCAGCAGCCGCGGUAAUACGAAGGGUGCAAGCGUUACUCGGAAUUACUGGGCGUAAAGCGUGCGUAGGUGGUUGUUUAAGUCUGAUGUGAAAGCCCUGGGCUCAACCUGGGAAUGGCAUUGGAAACUGGGCAGCUAGAGUGCGGUAGAGGGUAGUGGAAUUCCCGGUGUAGCAGUGAAAUGCGUAGAGAUCGGGAGGAACAUCUGUGGCGAAGGCGACUGCCUGGACCAGCACUGACACCGAGGCACGAAAGCGUGGGGAGCAAACA
rnacentral:rRNA from 1 species